UACGAAGGGGGCGAGCGUUGUUCGGAUUUACUGGGCGUAAAGGGCGCGUAGGCGGCGGACCAAGUCGAGUGUGAAAGCCCCGGGCUCAACCUGGGAGGUGCGCUCGAGACUGGUUUGCUGGAGUUCGGGAGAGGAGCGUGGAAUUCCCAGUGUAGAGGUGAAAUUCGUAGAUAUUGGGAAGAACACCGGUGGCGAAGGCGGCGCUCUGGACCGAGACUGACGCUGAGGCGCGAAGGCGUGGGGAGCAAACAGG
rnacentral:rRNA from 1 species